rnacentral:rRNA from 1 species
GAUGAACGCUGGCGGCGUGCCUAAUACAUGCAAGUCGAACGCUGGAAAUCUAGCUUGCUAGAUUGAAGGAGUGGCGAACGGGUGAGUAAUACAUAAGCAACCUACCCACGAAGACUGGGAUAAUCUCUGGAAACGGGGACUAUUACCGGAUAGGUAAUCGGAAGGCAUCUUCUGAUUAUUAAAGGUUAAAAACACUGGUGGAUGGGCUUAUGGCGCAUUAGUUAGUUGGUGAGGUAACGGCCCACCAAGACGAUGAUGCGUAGCCGGCCUGAGAGGGUGAACGGCCACAUUGGGACUGAGACACGGCCCAGACUCCUACGGGAGGCAGCAGUAGGGAAUUUUCGGCAAUGGGGGAAACCCUGACCGAGCAACGCCGCGUGAGUGAUGACGGCCUUCGGGUUGUAAAGCUCUGUUGUAAGGGAAGAACGGUAGGUAGAGAAUAUCUAAAUGACGGUACCUUACCAGAAAGCCACGGCUAACUACGUG